AACUUUGAGCGGUGAAUCACUCGGCUCGUGAGUCGAUGAAGAGUGCAGCCAACUAUGUGAAAUAAUGUGAACUGCAAACUGCUUUGAACAUCAACAUCUUGAACGCAUAUUGGGGCUACGGGAUAUCCUGUGGCGACGUCUGUCCGAGGGUUG
rfam:Trichobilharzia regenti genome assembly, scaffold: TRE_scaffold0005979